CAAUAGCGUAUAUUAAAGUUGUUGCAGUUAAAAAGCUCGUAGUUGGACUUGUGCACUCCUGGAUUAUCCAGUCUUGGUAUAUUCCUGGGGGUGCAUCCUUGGGUGGAACCUUCAUGGCAUUAGGUUGUCGUGUGGGGGAUAUUCAUCGUUUACUGUGAAGAAAUUAGAGUGUUCAAAGCAGGCUUAGGCCGCUGAAUAUAUUAGCAUGGAAUAAUAAGAUAGGGCCUUGGUACUAUUUUGUUGGUUUGCGAAUUGAGGUAGGGAUAGUUGGGGGUAUUCGUAUUCCAUUGUCAGAGGUGAAAUUCUUGGAUUUUUGGAAGACGAACUACUGCGAAAGCAUUUACCAAGGAUGUUUNCAUUAA
rnacentral:rRNA from 1 species